rnacentral:rRNA from 1 species
CAUAUGCUUGUCUCAAAGAUUAAGCCAUGCAUGUGUGAGUACAGACCGAUGUAAGGUGAAACCGAGAAUGGCUCAUUAAAUCAGUCAUAAUUCCUUGGAUAGUGAUAAACUUUCCUCGGAUAACUGUGGAAAAUCCAGAGCUAAUACGUGCAACUGAGCUCCGACCUAGGCGCGAGCCUUGGGAAGAGCGCAUUUGUUAGAUUCAAAACUGACCGGCGUACUCCUUCGGGAUACGUCGUUGUUAAAAUUUGAUGACUCAGGACAACUAAGUCGAGCGCUCCGGUCUUUAGUACCGGCGCCGUAUCUUUCAAGUGUCUGCCUUAUCAGCUUUCGAUUGUAGGUUAAACGCCUACAAUGGCUGUAACGGGUAACGGGGAAUCAGGGUUCGAUUCCGGAGAGGGAGCCUGAGAAACGGCUACCACAUCUAAGGAAGGCAGCAGGCACGCAAAUUACCCACUCCCAGCCCGGGGAGGUAGUGACGAAAAAUAACGAUGCGAGACUCUUCCGAGGCCUCGCAAUCGGAAUGAGUCCAUUUUAAAUCCUUGGACGAGGAUCCAUUGGAGGGCAAGUCUGGUGCCAGCAGCCGCGGUAAUUCCAGCUCCAAUAGCGUAUAUUAAAGUUGCUGCGGUUAAAAAAGCUCGUAGUUGGACUCUCUAGAUCCAUUUCGUGGGCGAGUCGCUCUUUGUACUAGUGUCUCGCGCGGUUCCUUAGAUGAAGUCGUCUCGCACGUAUUUCGCUUUCGGGCGUUUACGAGCGGGCGUUCCAGAUUCUUUGGGACGGCGAGUUACUGUCUCCGAGUAUAGCUCGUCCGCGUUUGGUACAAUUAAAUUUUUGUCGGCUCGCUCGGAGUGCUCUUUACCGAGUGUUCCAGGGUGGCUGACACGUUCACUUUGAAAAAAUUAGAGUGCUUAAAGCGGGCUUAUUUACGGCCUGAAUGUCUGUGCAUGGAAUGAAGUAACAGGACCUCGAUUCUGUUGUUUUUGUCGGUUUUAAUGAACCGAGGUAAUGAUUAAAAGGGACAGACGGUGGCAUUAGUAUUGCGACGCUAGAGGUGAAAUUCUUGGACCGUCGCAAGACUAACUACUGCGAAAGCAUUUGCCGAGAAUGUUUUCAUUAAUCAAGAACGAAAGUUAGAGGAUCGAAGGCGAUCAGAUACCGCCCUAGUUCUAACCCUAAACUAUGCUAACUAGCGAUCCGCCGGAGUCAUUCCCACGACCCGGCGGGAAGCCCCAGGGAAACCAAAGUCUUUGAGUUCCGGGGGAAGUAUGGUUGCAAAGCUGAAACUUAAAGGAAUUGACGGAAGGGCACCACCAGGAGUGGAGCCUGCGGCUUAAUUUGACUCAACACGGGAAACCUCACCAGGCCCGGACAUCAUAAGGAUUGACAGGUUGAGAGCUCUUUCUCGAUUUGAUGGGUGGUGGUGCAUGGCCGUUCUUAGUUGGUGGAGUGAUCUGUCUGGUUGAUUCCGAUAACGAACGAGACUCUACCCUACUAACUAGUCGGCGGAUCGUAACCCUGAGAUGGUUAGUUCGUAUAGGAGAGAUUUGCCUAUUCAAAAGUCACGCCGAUAGUGGUGCGCGUCCGUAUCCCCUAGUUCUUUGUAGCGAAAGGGGCGAGCGCGCGUUUUCUAAAGGUUUCUGGCUCUGUUGAAGCUGCUUUCUGAUUACUGCUACUGCUGGGGGCGUCCGUCGCAAUAUAUCUUCUUAGAGGGAUCAGCGGCGUAUAGCCGCACGAGAAAGAGCAAUAACAGGUCUGUGAUGCCCUUAGAUGUUCUGGGCCGCACGCGCGCUACAAUGUAGGGCUCAGCGUGCUGUCCCCCUCCGAAAGGAACGGGCAAUCCGUUGAAAUCUCUACCCGAUUGGGAUUGGGGAUUGCAAUUAUUUCCCAUAAACGAGGAAUUCCCAGUAAGCGCGAGUCACUAACUCGCGCUGAUUACGUCCCUGCCCUUUGUACACACCGCCCGUCGCUACUACCGAUUGAAUGAUUCAGUGAGGGCAUCGGACUGGCCCUUCGGUUUAGUAACCUAGACCUUAGGCUGACGGAAAGAUGUCCGAACUUGAUCAUUUAGAGGAAGUAAAAGUCGUAACAAGGUUUC